GUUGAAAAUUGAUUGUUUUGAAGAGAAGGCCAGCUCAGAGUACGAUGGCGGCUACAGUGUCAGAACCUCGGCGUGUGAGCUUCGUGGGUGCAGGCCGCAUGGCAGAGGCCAUUGCCCAAGGCCUCAUCCGAGCAGGCAAAGUAGAAGCUAAGCAAGUGCUGGCUAGUGCACCUACUGACAAGAACCUCUGCCACUUCAGGGCUCUGGGUUGCCAGACUACUCACUCCAACCACGAGGUGCUGCAAAACUGCCCACUUGUCAUCUUCGCCACCAAACCCCAAGUCCUGCCAGCUGUUCUGAUGGAAGUGGCACCCGUGGUCACCACUGAGCACAUCAUCGUAUCUGUGGCUGCUGGGAUCUCUCUGAACUCAAUGGAGGAGCUGUUACCCCCGAAAACACGAGUGUUGCGAGUCUCUCCCAAUCUACCCUGCGUUGUCCAGGAGGGGGCCAUGGCGAUGGCCCGGGGCCACCAUGCUGGGAAUGAUGACGCUGAGCUCCUGCAGAACUUGCUGGAAGCCUGUGGGCAGUGCAUAGAGGUUCCUGAGUCCUACGUAGAUAUCCACACCGGUCUCAGUGGCAGUGGUGUGGCCUUUGUGUGUACCUUUUCGGAGGCCCUGGCUGAAGGUGCCAUCAAGAUGGGCAUGCCCAGUGACCUGGCCCACCACAUUGCUGCUCAGACCUUGCUGGGGACAGCCAAGAUGCUGCAGCAGGAAGGGAAGCACCCAGCCCAGCUUCGGACAGAUGUGCUC